GGAGGAAAGCAGGGGAUCGCAAGACCUUGCGCUUUUGGAGUGGCCGAUGCCUGAUUAGCUAGUUGGUGGGGUAAUGGCCUACCAAGGCGACGAUCAGUAGUUGGUCUGAGAGGACGACCAGCCACACUGGGACUGAGGCACGGCCCAGACUCCUACGGGAGGCAGCAGUGGGGAAUUUUGGACAAUGGGCGAAAGCCUGAUCCAGCAAUGCCGCGUGAGUGAAGAAGGCCUUCGGGUUGUAAAGCCCUUUCAGUCGAGAAGAAAAGGUUGUGACUAAUAAUCACAACUCAUGACGGUAUCGACAGAAGAAGCACCGGCUAACUACGUGCCAGCAGCCGCGGUAAUACGUAGGGUGCGAGCGUUAAUCGGAAUUACUGGGCGUAAAGGGUGCGCAGGCGGCUUUGUAAGUCAGAUGUGAAAUCCCCGGGCUUAACCUGGGAAUUGCGUUUGAAACUACAAAGCUAGA
rnacentral:rRNA from 1 species